CUGAAAAAACAAGAAAAAAUAAAAACCAUUGAGAACUUUAACAAAAAAGAAUAAUUUUUUCUUGCAACCUUGAAAAAGAUCUCUGCUUUCCACCUUUGAACUCAACUUGUAACCUGCAAAAAUAAAACCGGCAAUAACUAGUCAAUCCAUGUUUGUAAUUUUUCUCGAAAACACCCGAAUUUGGAAUACUAAGCUUACAAUGAUUAUACCCACUUCUUUUUUUUUUCUUCUUUCUCGCCAUAAAAAUCGGAUCAUAACAGCAACCCAAAUGCCAAAGUAAAAGAAAAUGAAAAAGAAAAACCCAGGAAAAGAUUAAUUAUAACAAAUUUCAAUGUAAGCUGUAAGAAACUUACGUUGCCGGAAGUUCAAAAGUUCUUUAUUUCUCCGACGAGUCAGAGGAACAAUCGCCGGCGGAAGCUUCUUAUUGGAAGCAAAGUGCGAGCACCAUACCCUCACUUAUAAAGAUGAGCUGCUCAUUUCAGCACCUAUAUAUAUAUAUAUAUA